rnacentral:lncRNA from 1 species
ACAUGCAGGCAUGAAAAUUUGAGGACAAAAUCUCAGUGACUAGUGUGGCCACCACUGAUCUAAUGUUUUGCUACCAUUUUCUGCAACCAGGCAUCAUGUUCUCCCAAGAAUUACAAUCAUGAUGUUGAAGCAAAAGUGGAAAUUAGAAAUCAUUGCCUCAGCUGCAUGUGUAGGUCAAAUCAUGCACUGCUUAGCUCAAAAGCUUGAGAGAAUAGUAAAAAUCUUGCAGUUAAAUUGCGAAACUAUUGCUUGUAAAUCAUAUGAAACACAGCAUUGCAGAUCUUACAUAUUAUAAAAAGGAUCUAUGUAAUAGUUUUUUGGAUUAUUUAUGCCAUCAAUACUCCAAUUGCUUGGACAAUUAAUAGUGACAUUCAACUUUAAGAAAGGAAAUGAAUGAUAAGAUUCUGAUUUAAAUUCAGAUAACUAUUAGAGCAACAUUUCUUAUCAAUCUUUUCUUUUCUUUCCUUUUCUUUUCUUUUCUUUUUUUAAAAAAAAAAUAAAAAAUUUAAUGGGUAUGUAAAGGCACUGAGUGGGGGAGACUUAGGAUGUGACUAUACUCUUUUGGGGUAUUCUUGCCCAUGUGAACAUAUAUAGGUCAACAAGUUUCUGAAUUAUAUAACAAUCAGCCAAUAAUUUUUUAUUUUAAUUAAAAUUACGAGAUUUUUCAUUAGUCUGAGUAUUUAUACAUUUUGAGGUGGAUAAUAAUUUUCAUAAUUUAUAAAUAUUCUGAGAUACUAGAAAUGAAAUAGAGGAAUUAGAGAUAAAUUAAAAUAUUUAUAUUAACUUUUUUUUUUUUAAAAAAAGGCAAUUCAAAAUUAUAUUUUAUAUUAAAGGUCUCAUUAUAGUUGAAUGGAUGAUGAGGUAUGGAAUGAUGUCCUGAAAGAAAUUAUUUUUAUUUUAUUUUUCCCAGUUCUAAAUUUUAAAAGAAAUGCUUUAUAUUUUUUUAUGGCAAUUCUUCCUCAUAGGAUACCAAAAGGAAAACUGAUAAAGGAAAGGAGAGGAAACCUUUUCUUUGUGCUCUUUCGAAGUUCUAUAGCUUUGGGCAUUGGCAAAAAGCUGGGAUCGCUUCUCACGCGCGACACCCACUCAUUAUUCAGAUGGAAACGGAAUAAAUAACUGCCCCCUUCGCCUGCGGCCCACAACCACCCCCGUGAGGCGGUGCUGUUGGUGGUGGUAGGCUCCAGUGGGACCCCCAUCAAACACGCAC